GACGAACGCUGGCGGCGUGCUUAACACAUGCAAGUCGAGCGGAAAGGCCCUUUCGGGGGUACUCGAGCGGCGAACGGGUGAGUAACACGUGAGUAAUCUGCCCUGGACUCUGGGAUAGCCACCGGAAACGGUGAUUAAUACCGGAUAUGACACCUUGCUGCAUGGUGGGGUGUGGAAAGUUUUUUCGGUCCAGGAUGUGCUCGCGGCCUAUCAGCUUGUUGGUGAGGUAAUGGCUCACCAAGGCUUUGACGGGUAGCCGGCCUGAGAGGGUGACCGGUCACACUGGGACUGAGACACGGCCCAGACUCCUACGGGAGGCAGCAGUGGGGAAUAUUGGACAAUGGGCGGAAGCCUGAUCCAGCAACGCCGCGUGAGGGAUGACGGCCUUCGGGUUGUAAACCUCUAUCAGUACCGACGAAGCGUGAGUGACGGUAGGUACAGAAGAAGGACCGGCCAACUACGUGCCAGCAGCCGCGGUAACAC
rnacentral:rRNA from 1 species